UACGUAGGGGGCAAGCGUUGUCCGGAUUCAUUGGGCGUAAAGAGCGUGUAGGCGGCCAGGUAGGUCGGUUGUGAAAACUCGAGGCUCAACCUCGAGACGCCGAUGGAAACCAUCUGACUAGAGUCCGGAAGAGGAGAGUGGAAUUCCUGGUGUAGCGGUGAAAUGCGCAGAUAUCAGGAAGAACACCCGUGGCUAAGGCGGCUCUCUAGUACGUGACUGACGCUGAGACGCGAAAGCGUGGGGAGCGAACAGG
rnacentral:rRNA from 1 species